UGGGGGAUAUUGCACAAUGGGCGAAAGCCUGAUGCAGCGACGCCGCGUGGGGGAUGAAGGCUUUCGGGUUGUAAACCUCUUUCGCUAUCGAACAAGGCCCGCUUAGGGUGGGUUGAGGGUAGGUGGAGAAGAAGCGCCGGCUAACUACGUGCCAGCAGCCGCGGUAAUACGUAGGGCGCGAGCGUUGUCCGGAAUUAUUGGGCGUAAAGGGCUUGUAGGCGGCUUGUUGCGCCUGCUGUGAAAACGCGGGGCUUAACUUCGCGCGUGCUGUGGGUACGGACAGGCUUGAGUGUGGUAGGGGUGACUGGAAUUCCAGGUGUAGCGGUGGAAUGCGCAGAUAUCUGGAGGAACACCGAUGGCGAAGGCAGGUCACUGGGCCAUUACUGACGCUGAGGAGCGAAAGCAUGGGUAGCGAACAGG
rnacentral:rRNA from 1 species